AUGGCAGGCGCAGCUACCAUGCAGUCGAGCGGUAACAGAUCCGCUUGCUGGAUGCUGACAGCGGCGGACGGGUGAGUAAUGCGUAUGAAUCUGCCCGAUAGUGGGGGAUAACCUGGGGAAACCCAAGCUAAUACCGCAUACGUCCUACGGGAGAAAGGGGGCUUCGGCUCCCGCUAUCGGAUGAGCCUAUGUCGGAUUAUCUAGUUGGUGAGGUAACGGCUCACCAAGGCGACAAUCCCUAUCUGGUCUGAGAGGAUGAUCACCCACAUCGGGACUGAGACACGGCCCGAACUCCUACGGGAGGCAGCAGUGGGGAAUAUUGGACAAUGGGGGGAACCCUGAUCCACCCAUGCCGCGUGUGUGAAAAAAGCCCUCGGGUUGUAAAGCACUUUCAGCGAGGAAGAACGCCUAGCGGUUAAUACCCGCUAGGAAAGACAUCACUCUCAGAAAAAACACCGGCUAACUCCGUGCCAGCAGCCGCGGUAAUACGGAGGGUGCGAGCGUUAAUCGGAAUUACUGGGCGUAAAGCGCGCGCACGUGGCUUGAUAAGCCGGAUGUGAAAGCCCCGGGCUCAACCUGGGAACGGCAUCUGGAACUGUCAAGCUAUAGUGCGAGAGAGGAAGGUAGAAUUCCCGGUGUAUCGGUGAAAUGCGUAUAGAUCUGGAGGAAUACCAGUGGCGAAGGCGGCCUCCUGGACUGACACUGACACUGAGGUGCGAAAGCGUGGGUAGCAAACAGGAUUAUAUAUCCUGGGUAGUCACA
rnacentral:rRNA from 1 species